GCCAGGAACUCGGCCAGCAGGUCGGUGUUGCUGAGACACUGCACCACGGCGUUCAUGAAACAGGCGAAGGUGAAGAGAAGGGAAAGGAAGAUUCCCCGGAGGGCAGCCUCCGGCGUAGCGAGAGACGCACACUGGGGGCUGUGAAGUGGUGGAGAGCACCGUGGUACCGCUGGUUCCGCCGCAGGCUCAGGACUGACCUGUGACAAAGUGCACUCCUUCCACGGUGAUAUCCAUGCCGUUGAUGGCCCCGGACAAGGAACCAUCCAACUCUCUGAUUACUGACCCAUCAAACACUUCCCAAGCCCUUGACCAGGAAUCAGGAGUGGGAACUUGAGUAUUUCACCCAGAACUUUCUCUCUGUUUCAUGUUGAUGGCAACUUGCUGUG